GCGGAAAUAGCUCAGUUGGUAGAGCAUAACCUUGCCAAGGUUAGGGUCGCGAGUUCGAAUCUCGUUUUCCGCU
rnacentral:tRNA from 2 species